AUCCAAAAUUCAUAAAAUGAGUUCCAGUCGUGGUGCCAGGAGAAAAUCUCCUGCUGGUUCUACUAGACUCAAACCAAAUCCCAACUUCUUUAAUUCUCCUAGUCAAAGUGAUGGGGUAGGUAAGGAGGGGAGUGUACCAGAGUCCUUAUUGAAACAAGUUCGUAAAACCGGUUCACUGAACCUGUCAAACAGCCGGUAGGAGGCUGUGUGAGACUUGUAGCAUGUUUUUUUAAUUCACCAAAAAUUACCAAAUGAUUUUUUUUUGAUUUUCAUUUUUAUGACGCAUUAAUGAACAUGCGGAUGUAUGAAAGUUAGUGGGUGAAUGUGUAUAAUUACAGGGGCAUUAGUGUUAUUCCUCCUAAAUUGUGGAGACUCAAUAUUGAUCCUCCUGAUGGUAGUACUGCUUCAUUUGAUGUUGAUGAGAGAUGGUGGGACCAGGUUGAAGUGACUAAACUGGAUCUAUCAUCUAACGAAAUCAAAGAAAUAUCUGAAGAUAUUGAAAACUUUAAUUCAUUGUCAGCGCUUGAGGUCCAGUACAAUGAGUUAACAUGUCUACCUAAUAAUGUGAUCAAACUGGAUAAACUAUGUAAAAUAUUUGCAAGUCUCUGCUAUAUGUUAGGAAGGUUUGAGUCUCUUCAUUAUCUUCUCUUUGAUGUUCUCCUCUUAAUUAAAUGAAUGAGAGCUGACAUCCUCCGGAAAGGAACAGUAUUGGUCCUCUAGUAUCUCUUGUAUUGAAGAACCAGGAGACCACAUGUGACGGCCAACCUCUCCCUCGUCCCUCAAGAUCCCCUCGUGACCAUACAAGUAAGGAUGAGGAGUGGGUGGAGUGAGAGGAGGUGUGGUGAGAAAGGAAGUUGUGAUGAUGAAAGCUAUGCUACCUCCUGAAGGUUCCCUGUCAUGGACUGGUGAUAUAUUAGUGGGUCAAUAUUAGAGUGGAACCCACGUCUACCAGGAGACUAUUAGACCACACCCAGGAGGUCUGUGGGAUUCACUGGUCACCAAAUCAUCAGUAACUGGUGUCAGGAGGAAAUGAUAAUAUAGGUCUUGUUGGAUACUUUGUCAUUGGGUUUGAGGUUCCCUCUUAUCCUGUGUACUUCAGUACUAGUCCACAAGAUACACCCACUCACUGGCAUCAGAGGAUAUUCUUCCUCAAUGAACCCAUACAAGUUCAAACAGUGAUCUAUUACGUGGUUGCUAUAAGAGCAAGGAUUGUUCAAGAUCACUUGAUAUCAAGAUACAGAUGAUGUUAUUUCCACUCUCAAAAGAAUCCCAAGUACUAGAACACAUGUACACUAUCAUCAUGUGUGUUUAGUUU